AGGGUGACAGGUGGGUGCAUGGUUGUCGUCAGCUCGUGUCGUGAGAUGUUGGGUUAAGUCCCGCAACGAGCGCAACCCUUGUCAUUAGUUGCCAUCAUUUGGUUGGGCACUCUAAUGAGACUGCCGGUGACAAACCGGAGGAAGGUGGGGAUGACGUCAAGUCCUCAUGGCCCUUAUGGGUAGGGCUUCACACGUCAUACAAUGGUCGGUACAGAGGGUUGCCAACCCGCGAGGGGGAGCUAAUCCCACAAAGCCGAUCGUAGUCCGGAUCGCAGUCUGCAACUCGACUGCGUGAAGUCGGAAUCGCUAGUAAUCGUGGAUCAGCAUGUCACGGUGAAUACGUUCCCGGGUCUU
rnacentral:rRNA from 1 species